rnacentral:rRNA from 1 species
GGGCAAGCGUUGCUCGGAAUCACUGGGCGUAAAGGGCGCGUAGGCGGUGCGGUAAGUCACCUGUGAAAUCUCCUGGCUCAACUGGGAGCUUGCAGGCGAAACUGCCGUGCUGGAGUGUGGGAGAGGUGAGUGGAAUUCCCGGUGUAGCGGUAAAAUGCGUAGAUAUCGGGAGGAACACCUGUGGCGAAAGCGGCUCACUGGACCACAACUGACGCUGAGGCGCGAAAGCUAGGGGAGCAAACAGG